rnacentral:rRNA from 1 species
GACGAACGCUGGCGGCGUGCUUAACACAUGCAAGUCGAACGGUGAAGGGGCCUGCUUUUGUGGGUCCUGGAUGAGUGGCGAACGGGUGAGUAACACGUGAGUAACCUGCCCCCUUCUUCUGGAUAACCGCAUGAAAGUGUGGCUAAUACGGGAUAUUCUGGGUCUGUCGCAUGGUGGGCCUGGGAAAGAUUGCGCUUUUUUGGUGUUUUUGGUGGGGGAUGGGCUCGCGGCCUAUCAGCUUGUUGGUGGGGUGAUGGCCUACCAAGGCGGUGACGGGUAGCCGGCCUGAGAGGGUGGACGGUCACACUGGGACUGAGACACGGCCCAGACUCCUACGGGAGGCAGCAGUGGGGAAUAUUGCACAAUGGGCGCAAGCCUGAUGCAGCGACGCCGCGUGAGGGAUGGAGGCCUUCGGGUUGUGAGCCUCUUUCGCCAGUGAGGAAGGCCUUGCCUGUGUGGUGGGGUGACG